CAUGUUUUGCCCUCGUGCGAUGGAGGCCAAAAAGUCAACAAAAGCAGCGGUGCUAGAAAGCAGAGGUUCGCCUCUAGGACAAAACACCCGUGCAACGAGAGAUUUUUUCGAACAUUGCGAAGAUCUUUUUCAUCAUAUCAACUGGGGGGUUUCGAUCGAUCCGCAAAAAAUGCCGUUGCCAAAACGUAUGGUUCUUGGUAUGGGCCCUGGUGGUCCUAGCAAACCUGCGGCCGCAGAAUCCCAAACAAAUCGACCAGAAAAUCCGCCAAAAUAUAGCUGACAUUCAGCCACGUCUAAAAACCUUUAGCUUGGUUGUUCCUUUUUGAUUGCCAGCGCGCUAAACACCACCUCCUCUUCAGCACUGGGAAAAAGAGGCCCGCGCACAUUGUUCCGGCAACUGCCCCCCUUUGGCCCCAACAUUGGGUAGACUCUGCGCCAUAAUCUGCGCUGCGGGGCUUUUGGUGUCAAAAGCCGGCGGAAAAAAGACGCCUCACAGCAAUGCACGGCCCCAGCCAUUGGAUUCAGCCUUCGCCCAAAACGAUGCCAACCCGCCCCGCGUGUGGCUUUGCAUCUGCGCCAAUUUUGGCUGCCCCCACCAGGUGCACUCCUCGGGCUUAAAAAGACUUCUAGCCAGAGGGCGCUGGGGACAAAGUGGGGUAUGCCCCGGUUUGGCCGACAGCAUGCCAAUCAUCUGGAUGACGCGCGCGCCUUUACAGCCGCAGAUUGCCCCAGCAAAACGCCAUCCGGAACCGGGCCGCCUGGGUGGGUGGCGGUGGGUGGUUUUGGGGCCCCCUAGGCCGUGGGCGCUUCGGCGUUGGUGGUGGUGGGGGCUGCUUUUUUUCCCCGCUAUCUUGGGUUACCGCACCCUGGCGUUACGCGCGCGGGUCGCCCCAGACAUGUGGAUUUUGAUGCUGUGCUAAAAGAGUGCUUAUUCUGACCUUGGCUCGGGACGCUUUUUUUUUUCAGGUGAUCUGUGUGAGGGGGUUGUUUUUCGAAAAAUGUGAAUGCAAGAGUGCCGUUUCAACUGUGUCCAGGGCAUGCUGGGAAAGCGGGGCUAAGCGGAUUCGAACAGUUCAAUGUUGUGCUGGGGUUAAUCUGGCCGGAUCCAUUUGACACCUGGGAAGAUAUGGGGCGACGCGUAGGAAGAAAGGGGGGGGUGUGAUGAGAAACCCAGGGGGGUCAGCGUUCAGGUGACGCACCAAUUUUGGCGUGUUGUGAUCGGUAAUGCGGUGCUUGUUGGUUUCCACUGAGAUGAAGGAAAUGCAAGGAUAACUUUGCAAGUGCAAGGGGUAAGUGGUGAAUCCAAUAAAAUUGCAGGGAGGCAAAGGUGAGUGUGGUUGGUUAAUGUGCCAUUUCAAGGUGUGCUCUUUUUCCCGGGGGUAAGGGGCUGUAACCAAGCCUGCCUUUUUUUGUUUGCUGUGGGGGGUGGGGGUGCUCGUAGGAGCCCAGUGGGACCAGUGGGUUCUCCGCUUUUCAGCCUUUGAGCUUUUCGUUGUUUACGUUGCAGGGUUUGAUCUCGGAGCCGGUUCGCGCUUGGUGAAUAAGAGCGGUAUUACUUUCCUUCAUAUCAUUUGGGUCCGCUGCUCCUCUAAAAAGUUGUUCUCGGAAGAGGCCACCUUGGUAUUGACCAGCUGGUGGCUCACGAGCCCCCGUGGGAGGCCUAUGGGAUGUCCGCGUUUAUGGGCGGCUAGAGGCGGGCCGUAGGUUCCGUCAUAGUCCCUACCCUUUCGAGAAAGCAGAAGAAAAGAAGGUCCAAGAAGCUGCCGCUUUUAGGAUAAACCGUGGCAGGGUCAUCCGCAUUGCUGGUGGUGAUGAACCAGCCGGCGUAUAUUUCUGCACGUGAGUCGCCACGCUGCCACACUGCUGAGUGGCGACUCUCUAUCGAAAAACAUCGAUCUUUUUAUGUUCGCCAAGGUGGUGUGCUGAGCGCUUUCCUUGUGUGACAUGCGGAGGGCGAGGACCGAAAAUAUUGAUAACAUUGAUUCUCUAGUCAGAGAAAAGCCACUCACGCAUCUUUUCUUGCCUGCGCAGCGAGGUUGGCUGGAGGAAUAGCUGUUCUAGACACUAAACUCCUCUGCCAUCAUCAAGCACCAUCGCAAGUCGUGGCUACAGGUUGACAUUCUCGAUCGAGUAGUCUCGCAUCAUGGGCCGAUCCUCAAAGACCUCUCCACUUUCUCUGUGGCUUCACUUGAAACCCACUGAAAG
rnacentral:misc_RNA from 1 species